UACGUAGGGUGCGAGCGUUAAUCGGAAUUACUGGGCGUAAAGCGCACGUAGGCGGAGCGGAAAGUUGGGGGUGAAAGCCCAGGGCUCAACCCUGGAACUGCCUUCAAGACUCCCGCUCUUGAGGUCGUGAGAGGUGAGUGGAAUUCCGAGUGUAGAGGUGAAAGUCGUAGAUAUUCGGAGGAACACCAGUGGCGAAGGCGGCUCACUGGCACGAUACUGACGCUGAGGUGCGAAAGCGUGGGGAGCAAACAGG
rnacentral:rRNA from 1 species